rnacentral:lncRNA from 1 species
GCACCUGAAGCUCUCUUGAUGUGUUACAGUUCAUGCAUCUGCGCUCCGACACGUGCCCCUCGUAUUGGUGUCCGCCUUCCGCUCUGGUCUACGUACGCAUUAGUUCCGCAACACUCGUCAAUAAUGGUGUCGUGGUGUGCCAAAAUGGUGCAAGUCCGCACGGCUCUCCCGCCCGCUCCGUCCACACGACCCGCAACCCACCACGUGCUGCACGCACACAUUCUGCAAGGCCUACCAUUGCUACAAAACACUAAACGUACAGACCAGGCAUACUCAGGGUCUCGAGGCAAGUGUGAAGGCAAUCGAUACGGAUCCCCUGCUGCCAGCACUACACCCAGCCACGCACCCGCCGAUCACACCAUAACACCAUGCGCGCACAGCGCCGCCUGCCAAUUCCGCUGCCGCCACCUGAAGUCUGCCGCUUGCCGCUAGCCGCCUCCGUACUUGAGCUCGGCCUGCAUGGUGUUUGGGGUAAGUUGGUCAGUGCAUUGUGGCACGGUGUCGUGCAGGGCAGGGCCUAGACCGCAUUCGGUCCCCUAGAACUAACUUCCCAUGUACGUCAUUCAAAUCCUAUCAUUCAUCCUACUAUGAGUUGUGUAGCAAUUUCCGAUCAAACUUGCCUGGUGAGGGUUAGAAGGGCCACGCAUUUACGCGCGCUGCGCCCCGAGUCGAAUUCCAGUGCCGGACCUGUGGAGACAAGGGGAGGGGGAGGGGGGGAGCUUCACACUCUGCAUCUCUGCUAAUGCUCUUACAACUUCGUCCAUACUGCGCAUGCAGAGGUCGGCAUGGGCCUCGGGUCCUUCGGGGCCCCCCGAUGUACCCGCAACCGAAAUCGAAAAUAGCCAACCGCUGCUGGUCCUUACACUACCGAAAUCACUCCAGACGGCUUCAGAAACCACGAUGGGGCCCCCAAAACCGGCCCAAAACAUGAUUGACUGGCUCUUGGUUUACCUGAAAUGCCCCCAAAACCCCUUGAAAAUGUCGCAAUUUGAAGUGCAAUCUGAAAAUUUUCUUUGGGGCUGCCGCCCCCGGGCCGGCUUGCGCGGAACAGAAGGGGAUUGCGAGGAUUUGUGGCUGCCUGCCACAGAGCAGCUGUCCGGCAUGUGCUGUUGGACACGUAAGACGAAUGCAAGCCUUGCACACAAAAAAACCCUUGUAAAAUGCUGCAAUUUGAGGACCGAUAUGCGAAAUUUUCUCCGGGGGCUCCCGCCCCCGGACCCCGGCUAGGGGGACACCCCCCAGACCCCCCGGUUGGGGUUUACCGAAAUCGGUCUGGGACCCGCAGCAGAAAAAACGCGUUUGCCGACCUCUGUGCGCAUGGAUGCUAGCUCGCUUGACCCCCUGAUUUUGUUGUCGCUUGUCGACCCCCUGACAUGGCUGUCGCUAUGUGUCCUGACCUGCCUCACCUGGCACUGUUGAUUCCAGACUUGGUCUUUGAUGCUUGAUUUACAUCCUGUAACAGCAGCGUCAAGACCUGGCUUAGUUGUAGACCCGGUCAACGAGGGUCCGACACCCCCUGCGACAGCGCAGCCCAGCCCCAGCACCAGCAGCUCAUAAAAUACCUUCCAAAGAUUGAUGCCAGGGCUUAGCAGGACUUAAAGACUCGCCCUGUAGACUUGAGCGCCAUCUUUGACUGGCAGAGGACCACGAAGUCUCUACAUGGUGCUGAACGAUAGGUAUGUAGCUACAUGUGACAAAGACAGGUUGCUUGAAGAGUGAAGAAGUGAAUUCGAAAUAUAUGAGCCCCAUGCAGCCCCAUGCAACUAAUGCAACAAGGAACGCGCUCCAUGCUGGGUCUUGAUUUGCUGUGCAUGCUCCGGUCAGACCUGAAGUUAAUCUACAGCAGGCCGGUACGUCAGUCUUCAGCGCCGGUCCGGGCACGGGUCUGGCCUCCGCCUGCGCCUCCGCGGCUUGUGCUUAGGGAACCACCUGGAGCUGGAUACCGGCUUUCUCGGCUUCGCAUGGUUCGUCUUUACAGCUUUCUCAAUAACGGGGAAAGCCUCACAUGCACACGCACCUCCGCUCAUGCCCACCGCCGCAUG